CACCACUGAAAAAACAAGGCCACCAGUGAGCUCUUAUCCUAUCAUCAUUAAUAAUCUUCCUUCUUUCAAUUAACCUACUAGGAUUGCUCCCAUACACAUUCACCCCAACCACACAACUAUCCAUGAACCUAGCACUAGCCUUCCCAUUAUGACUAGCAACCCUCCUCACAGGCCUCCGAAACCAGCCAUCCGCCUCCCUAGGCCACCUCCUGCCCGAAGGAACUCCUACACCACUAAUCCCAGCCCUAAUCAUAAUC